AGGGAAUCCGGUCCCGUUCAAUAUCGUGGAUGAAUGUGGAGGGCAUUCUUAAGUAGUCAGCUAGUCACAGAGAGAGGAGCACACAGUGUACUUGUUACGUGUGGAAUCUGACGUAGUCAAAGUCUUAGGAGCUGAGCGUAGAGCGGUGGGCGCAGGCGCCUGUAGGGAGGAUGGCUGAAGAACUCUUGGCCAAAGAGUGCAGGACUUUAGUUAGACAUGAGUGACUUGAGUGGUAUUGGUCUGUCGUUUAUUUGACAGUUACCAGAACAGCGUAUGGUUUAGCACGAGUUGUAUCCUCCUCACGGAGCCCAGGGCUGCCAGGCUUACAUCCUUACCUUCCAGCUCCGAAGAGGAAGAGCGUCCCUUCUCCCAUCGAUUCCAAAAGCUCAGUUGCCAGAUGGAAUCACGCCCUGAACCAUUCCUGAAGGGAUGAAGCGGGAUUCAUGUGUAGAAGAGAAAGACCUGCAGUCACUUUUGAGUGAUUCCAGACAGGAGGGCAGAAGAAAAAAAGACCAGGCAGAAAUCAAGUUAGGAAAUGGCCUGCAUCUUCCACAGCUCAAGUUUGUGGUGGGUCAUGAAGAGUGAUUCCCAAAACCAUUCUGUCCAUCAACUCCUUUCCUGGACCCUGUCUUCUGCUUCUCCUACUUAGUUUUGGAAAAGAAAAAAAAAUCAUGGAAAACCAAUCCCAUGGAAAGGUUUUAGAAAGGAUCUCCGGUUUCCUACCAAAGACUCCCAGAGCACGUUCCGACUGUAGUGUUAUUAAAGUGACUCAGAUACCA
rnacentral:lncRNA from 1 species